GCAUCGAUAGUUCAAUGGAAGAGCGGUGGGGCGUUGACCCAUGCGGCCCGGGUUCGAGCCUCGGUCGAUGCA